UAGCCACCGACAUAUGAGUUGUCUACUCAAAAUAGUCACGGAUACUGGACCUCUGCUUUGCUGGCUUCAAGCUCUCAAUUGUUCGUCUUUUAUGUCUAUUGUAUGCUAAGACAAUAUAUAGAGAGAGAGACUCUCCUAGUUGGCCACUUUCACUUCUCCAUGGUAUGUUCCUUCUACAAUCUCAUCAUCAGCACUCCACUACCCAAAAGGAACCCGGCCUCCACAACCCAAUUUGAGUUUCCUUUUUCUCUCUCGAUGGUUUUGAUUCCCACUUGAAGUUCCUGUUCUUGAUCUACAAAAGAAAGCUGCUUUGCGGAAGUGGUCAAAUUGAAGUUGAGGGACAUAGAUGCCCCCUGUAUCACCUGUAUCCAACUCGCAGGUCCCGCCAAUGGACAUGUAGGGGACUGGUUCUGGCUCCAAAGAGUUCAUACGACCACUUGGCCGGGAUCCUACUCAGCCCGAGAUUUUUCGUCGUACCCAUAAGAAAAAGGGUACUAGAGAAUUUGUUGAUGCACGGUCGGCUAAAAUAUAUGCUGACUAUGAGAAGAUGAAAGAAGCCAAGCAAAUCUUUGCUCGGUUUGGAAUGCAACCGCUAUGUAAUGACGUUGACGAUGAGGAGCACGAUUCUGACGGGGUUUAGAUUAUAGAUUGCAGUUUAAUUGUUGUAAUAUAUUUUGACAAUUUGACUUCAACACAAUUUUUAUAUAAAUAUUUUUAUUACAAA